UGAGAGGUACUCCAGGUCUAGGAGUGAAAUCCUGUAAUCCUUGGGGGACCACCUGUGGCGAAGGCGUCUCACCAGGACGGCUCCGACAGUGAGGAACGAAAGCUGGGGGAGCAAACCGGAUUAGAUACCCGGGUAGUCCCAGCCGUAAACGAUGCGCGUUAGGUGUAUCGGUGACCACGAGUCACCGAGGUGCCGAAGAGAAAUCGUGAAACGCGCCGCCUGGGAAGUACGGUCGCAAGGCUGAAACUCAAAUGAAUUGACG
rnacentral:rRNA from 1 species